CUUCUCCCAUGUCUUUUUCUCCUACAUGAAACUGAAAGCUUGAGUCCUCCUUCCUGUCUUCGCUUCUAGGGCCAUUAAACAAGCAGAUGGAUCUCUUAAGGAACCUACCAGACGAGCUUCUUUGUCAUAUCUUCUCCAAUCUGAAAGCUUGAGUCUUUUCUUCCUAUCUUCGUUAGAGCAGAUGGAUCGCUUUAGAAAUCUACCAGAAGAGGUUAUUUUUCAUAUAUUGUCUUUCCUUACCACAAAGGAGGCAGCUUUGACUUCGGUUUUGUCCAAGAGGUGGCGAUAUCUGUUUGCAUUUGUCCCUAAUCUUCACAUUGAUGACUCUAUCUUUCUGAAUCAGGAAGAGCAGAGGGACGACGUUGAAGAUCUCUUCAUAGAGUUUGUGGAGAGAGUAUUAGCAUUGCAGGGUAACUCUCCCAUUAAUAAAUGCUCCAUCAGUUGUAUCUGUGUUGGUUCAGUUAGAGUUGAUGCUUGGAUACGUAAUGUGUUGGAGCCUGGUGUAGAAGAGCUUGGUCUAUUAAUCGUUCUGGAUCUUCAAACGGUUGGUAAGAAAAAGGGUUGGUCUCCAACAUGUUUUGAGGGCAAGAAAUUUGUUAAGCUGGAGAUAAGUUAUGCACUUGAUAUCGAUUGGUUUGAUGGACGCAUUUUCUUACCGAUGCUUAGAACUCUCAUUCUUAAAUUUGUUGACUUAUCUAUUGAUAAGUUUGGGAGUCUACUUCAUGGUUUCCCUGCGCUUGAGGAAUUAGUCAUGGGUCAUAUAACCUGGAGUUCAAGGGAUGCAGCUGUGUCAGAUGCAAGCCUCAAGAGACUAACAAUAACUUCCAACCAUAUUGCCUAUCACUAUUUUUAUUUAGGCACUUUUUCGGUUGAUACACCUAGUCUUGUUCGCUUUUGUUACUCUGAUUAUGAUGCUAUAGACUACCCCGUAGUUAAGAUGAAAAGCUUGGUGAGGCUAGGAUUAGCCUUUUGGUAACUGAAGAUCAUAUCAAGCGAGCAAGAGCGCCAAACGAUGUUUGGUUAGGGGUUGAUGAUGGUGAUGUUCUUCUCCGGUUUGGUAAUGUGGGCAAGCUUAUGAAUGGCAUACGAAAUGUUCAGUAUCUGGACUUGUCUGCUAAUACUCUCGAGGCAAAAUGUCUUGCUUUGAGUUGUUGUUCUUCGCCUUUACUCCAAACAUCUCACUAUUAAUGUCACGGCAGAAACCGAUGUUUGAAAUUGUUCCUUUGCAUAGUGCGUAGUCUAAUGUCCUAGCGUUAUAUCAGCGGAUACAGUAACAGUGUCUUCUUUCUAUUUUCAUAAAUGUGUGUGUGUGUGUGUGUGUGUGUGCGUGUGCGUGUCUUUGAAUUCAUCUAGCUACCAUCUGUCACGAUACUAACAACGUCGUAGUGUUACGAAUGUGCUUGUCCUUGAAUUCAUCAGUUUUUAAU